CGCGCGAUACAGGGUGACAGCCCCGUACACAAAAAUGCACAUACUGUGAGCUCGAUGAGUAGGGCGGGACACGUGGUAUCCUGUCUGAAUAUGGGGGGACCAUCCUCCAAGGCUAAAUACUCCUGACUGACCGAUAGUGAACCAGUACCGUGAGGGAAAGGCGAAAAGAACCCCGGCGAGGGGAGUGAAAAAGAACCUGAAACCGUGUACGUACAAGCAGUGGGAGCCUCUUAAUGGGGUGACUGCGUACCUUUUGUAUAAUGGGUCAGCGACUUAUAUUCUGUAGCAAGGUUAACCGAAUAGGGGAGCCGAAGGGAAACCGAGUCUUAACUGGGCGUUAAGUUGCAGGGUAUAGACCCGAAACCCGGUGAUCUAGCCAUGGGCAGGUUGAAGGUUGGGUAACACUAACUGGAGGACCGAACCGACUAAUGUUGAAAAAUUAGCGGAUGACUUGUGGCUGGGGGUGAAAGGCCAAUCAAACCGGGAGAUAGCUGGUUCUCCCCGAAAGCUAUUUAGGUAGCGCCUCGUGAAUUCAUCUCCGGGGGUAGAGCACUGUUUCGGCAAGGGGGUCAUCCCGACUUACCAACCCGAUGCAAACUGCGAAUACCGGAGAAUGUUAUCACGGGAGACACACGGCGGGUGCUAACGUCCGUCGUGAAGAGGGAAACAACCCAGACCGCCAGCUAAGGUCCCAAAGUCAUGGUUAAGUGGGAAACGAUGUGGGAAGGCCCAGACAGCCAGGAUGUUGGCUUAGAAGCAGCCAUCAUUUAAAGAAAGCGUAAUAGCUCACUGGUCGAGUCGGCCUGCGCGGAAGAUGUAACGGGGCUAAACCAUGCACCGAAGCUGCGGCAGCGACACUAUGUGUUGUUGGGUAGGGGAGCGUUCUGUAAGCCUGUGAAGGUGUACUGUGAGGUAUGCUGGAGGUAUCAGAAGUGCGAAUGCUGACAUAAGUAACGAUAAAGCGGGUGAAAAGCCCGCUCGCCGGAAGACCAAGGGUUCCUGUCCAACGUUAAUCGGGGCAGGGUGAGUCGACCCCUAAGGCGAGGCCGAAAGGCGUAGUCGAUGGGAAACAGGUUAAUAUUCCUGUACUUGGUGUUACUGCGAAGGGGGGACGGAGAAGGCUAUGUUGGCCGGGCGACGGUUGUCCCGGUUUAAGCGUGUAGGCUGGUUUUCCAGGCAAAUCCGGAAAAUCAAGGCUGAGGCGUGAUGACGAGGCACUACGGUGCUGAAGCAACAAAUGCCCUGCUUCCAGGAAAAGCCUCUAAGCAUCAGGUAACAUCAAAUCGUACCCCAAACCGACACAGGUGGUCAGGUAGAGAAUACCAAGGCGCUUGAGAGAACUCGGGUGAAGGAACUAGGCAAAAUGGUGCCGUAACUUCGGGAGAAGGCACGC
rnacentral:rRNA from 1 species